AGGAAAUGUAGCUGCUGCUGCCCAGCGGUGAGUGAGCCCUGCCCACACUUUGCUAGCCUGGAAAAGCAAGCUUCAACAGUGAAGGAACGGUUUCUACUUACUGCAUAUUGAUUUUGCACUGUGAUUAAGUGUAAAAAUUCUCUGCAAUCUAUUGCAUUAUGGAGAGUGCAACACUUUUAACAAUGGGAAAAAGAAGGCAUAGAUGUGAAAGGCAAACCCUUCUGCCCUGCUGCCCUGUCUGGAAUCCAGUUGACUGUGGACUGAGAGUUCUACAAACUCAGAUCCUGCACAUCCUCUUCAUGGCUGAAAAGAGACUGUGCAUUUGCCCUCUUGGGCAAAAAGAAGUCUGAGACCCAGAUAGAUCUACAUCCACCAAUUGGCAGAGAAUUGAAUGCCUGUUCCCUUCCUCCCAACCUGACUGGAACCCCAAUACAGAUGGAGGUGGGAGGGCUCUUGAUGAUUAUCACCUGAGGCUUCUAGACACACUUUGUGCUGCCACCAAGAAGCCCACCAAUUUGUCCCAAGUGACUGAGCCUCCUCAACCCAGAGUGCACCUGGUACUCCGUAUUGAACCUCAAGGAUGCCUUCUUCACUCUACCACUUGCCCUGUCCCUGCAGGUGUUCCAGGCUGUGCUGACCUCCAUCCACCAGCUGUUCAGACAAAAACACCUGGACCCGCCUUUGGAGACACCAUUAAAGACACCCAUUGAGCCAGAAAAGGGUAUAAAAGCUGCUUGGGAAGUAAAGAAGGCAGAGAAAAAGACAAAGAAACAUGAUGGCAGUGGUGGAGAGAAAGGUAAAGAGAGAAGGUCACAGGGAUGGAGAGAGAGAAAGAGAUUUUUCUGCUUGAGAAAGGCAGAAGAUGGCAGCUGAUCUGCAGGGGAUGACAUCCAAGGUCGUCUGACUCUGAAGCCACAGGUCAUCCCUCUCCUUCAGAAUGAACGAUCACUGCAAGUUGGUAGACCUAAAGUGUCCACAAAGGGGAAAAUGCAGACACAAGAGCUGCAUCCUCCGGGCAUCACUGCAGAAGUCCAGGCAGAAGGCGAUGGUGACUUCCUCUGAAUGGAGCGAGUGGACUGGAAGAAAAGCAGAGACAGGAGACUGACAGGAGCAGAAGGGGAAGAAAAAAAUCCAGCAAUGAUUUUCACUGCUUCCAACCCCAAACUGGCCCAGUUCCUGCUCUGUCAUUUUUCACCAUGGCUGCUCCAUAAAGUGACCCCAAAGUGCAGUUUCCUGCUUGUUUCCUAUCAGGAGGUUACGGUAAAGUAUGGGAAAGAAACUGAAGCACAGAGAGUCUCAUUUGUCCAGCCUUACACCACUACGCCAGCUAUGUAGGCUGACAGUGAAUUUAGCAGUAUACUUCAGGAUUCGGGUACUUGCCUACUCAGCAAACAAAAGAGAAAUGUAUGGGGACAACCUCUUCUAUGAGGACACCAACAAGUUUUCAUCAAAUGACAAGAUUACUCAUAAACACUGGUAA